UUUGAUAGACCUUAGAAAGGUUUUGACAAGUUACUGAAGUAAGAAAGUAACUGGAAUUGGAAAAUUGCAUCGUAAAUGCAUUAUCAAUUGCAACGCUUCGAAUUUGGUCAAUUACGAAGUUCGAAUGUGGGAAAUGGUAAAUAAAACUACCCUACAUAUUCUAAAGGGCUUGGACAAGUUUUUGUAUAAGUUAGAGAGUGAUUGGAUGACUAAAAGUAAGAAAGUGCAUUGCUUUGGCGAAAUCAGCAUUUUUCUGCUUGCUGUACCGGUACAG
rnacentral:lncRNA from 1 species